AUGAAAUUGAAUUCGUAGUGAAGAUGCUACGUCCAUAUUGUAAGACGAAAAGUCCCCAUUGAGCUUUACUAAAGACUUAUAUGGCUCGAAUAACUUAAAUAAAAAGUUUAGAUAAUGUGGGAUCCGUUUUUGGUUAAUGAGACACCACUCUUUUAUUUUAAGAGAACUAACCUUAUAGGGAGAAUGUAAGUUAGAUAGUUUGGUUGGGGCGACCACCUUUUAAAAGGUAACGAAGGUGAGCUUAAGGUCCGUAGUUAAUAGCUAGAGGCCUGACUGCAAGGGGGACAUCCCGAGCAGACACAUCCUUAAGGAUGUGGGUUAUAGUGACCCGUCAUCUUAGAGUGGAAUAGUUGACGAUCAACGAAUAAAA
rnacentral:rRNA from 1 species